AACGAACGCUGGCGGCAUGCCUAACACAUGCGAGUCGAACGAGACCUUCGGGUCUAGUGGCGCACGGGUGCGUAACGCGUGGGAACCUGCCCUUAGGUUCGGAAUAACUCCCCGAAAGGGGUGCUAAUACCGGAUAAUGUCUUCGGACCAAAGAUUUAUCGCCUUUGGAUGGGCCCGCGUUGGAUUAGCUAGUUGGUAGGGUAAAAGCCUACCAAGGCGACGAUCCAUAGCUGGUCUGAGAGGAUGAUCAGCCACACUGGGACUGAGACACGGCCCAGACUCCUACGGGAGGCAGCAGUGGGGAAUAUUGGACAAUGGGCGAAAGCCUGAUCCAGCAAUGCCGCGUGAGUGAUGAAGGCCUUAGGGUGGUAAAGCUCUUUUACCCGGGAUGAUAAGGACAGUACCGGGAGAAUAAGCUCCGGCUAACUCCGG
rnacentral:rRNA from 1 species